AGAGUUUGAUCAUGGCUCAGGACGAACGCUGGCGACGCGCCUAACACAUGCAAGUCGAACGAGAGAGAGGGAGCUUGCUUCCUUGAUCGAGUGGCGAACGGGUGAGUAACGCGUGAGGAACCUGCCUCAAAGAGGGGGACAACAGUUGGAAACGACUGCUAAUACCGCAUAAGCCCACGACCCGGCAUCGGGAAGAGGGAAAAGGAGCAAUCCGCUUUGAGAUGGCCUCGCGUCCGAUUAGCUAGUUGGUGAGGUAACGGCCCACCAAGGCGACGAUCGGUAGCCGGACUGAGAGGUUGAACGGCCACAUUGGGACUGAGACACGGUCCAAACUCCUACGGGAGGCAGCA
rnacentral:rRNA from 1 species